rnacentral:misc_RNA from 1 species
GAUGAAGAACGUAGCGAAAUGCGAUACUUGGUGUGAAUUGCAGAAUCCCGUGAACCAUCGAGUCUUUGAACGCAAGUUGCGCCCGAAGCCAUCAGGUUGAGGGCACGUCUGCCUGGGCGUCACAUAUCGUUGCCCAAUGCCUAUUGCAGUGCAAUAGGAAUUUCUAGGGCGAAUGAUGGCUUCCCGUGAGCGUUGUUGCCUCGCGGUUGGUUGAAAAUCGAGUCCUUGGUAGGGUGUGCCAUGGUAGAUGGUGGUCGAGUUAGAACGAUACCGAUCAUGUGCAUGCUCCCCAAAAUAUGGCCUCUAUGACCCACACGCGUCUUUUGACGCUCAUGACGAGACCUCAGGUCAGGCGGGGCUACCCGCUGAAUUCAAGCAUAUCAAUAAGCGGAGGA